GACGAACGCUGGCGGCGGGCUUAACACAUGCAAGUCGAACGGAAAGGCCCUGCUUUUGUGGGGUGCUCGAGUGGCGAACGGGUGAGUAACACGUGAGUAACCUGCCCUUGACUUUGGGAUAACUUCAGGAAACUGGGGCUAAUACCGGAUAGGAGCUCCUGCUGCAUGGUGGGGGUUGGAAAGUUUCGGCGGUUGGGGAUGGACUCGCGGCUUAUCAGCUUGUUGGUUGGGUAGUGGCUUACCAAGUCUUUGACCCGUAGCCGGUCUGAGAGGAUGACCAGCAACACUGGAACUGAGAGACGGUCCAGACUCAUACGGGAGGCAGCAGUGGGGAAUAUUGGACAAUGGGCGAAAGCCUGAUCCAGCCAUGCCGCGUGUGUGAAGAAGGUCUUCGGAUUGUAAAGCACUUUAAGUUGGGAGGAAGGGCAGUAAGUUAAUACCUUGCUGUUUUGACGUUACCAACAGAAUCAGCACCGGCUAACUUCGUG
rnacentral:rRNA from 1 species